rnacentral:rRNA from 1 species
UACCAGCACCCCGAGUGGUCGGGACGAUUAUUGGGCCUAAAGCAUCCGUAGCCGGUUCUACAAGUCUUCCGUUAAAUCCACCUGCUUAACAGAUGGGCUGCGGAGGAUACUUUAGAGCUAGGAGGCGGGAGAGGCAAGCGGUACUUAGUGGGUAGGGGUAAAAUCCGUUGAUCCAUUGAAGACCACCAGUGGCGAAGGCGGCUUGCCAGAACGCGCUCGACGGUGAGGGAUGAAAGCUGGGGGAGCAAACCGG